rnacentral:lncRNA from 1 species
AUGGCGCCCUGGACGCUGUCUCGCUGCUGCCACUGCGUCAUGGGCUGGGUGCCGGUGCUCCUCAUCACCUUCGUGGUCAUCUGGUCCUACUACGCGUACGUGGUGGAGCUGUGCGUGUUUACUAUUUUUGGAAAUGAAGAAAAUGGAAAGACCGUGUUUUACCUUGUGGCUUUCCCUCUGUUUUUUUUAUGUUUGUAUGGUCCUAUUGGAUGACAAUUUUCACAUCUCCUGCUUCCCCCUCCAAAGAAUUCUACUUGUCCAAUUCUGAAAAGGAACGUUAUGGAAAAGAAUUCAGCCAAGAAAGACAACAAGAAAUUUUGAGAAGAGCAGCAAGAGCUUUACCUAUCUGUACCACGCCAGUUUCAAAAACUAUCAGAUAUUGUGAAAAAUGUCAGCUGAUUAAACCUGAUCGGGCGCAUCACUGCUCAACAUGUGACUCAUGUAUUCUUAAGAUGGAUCAUCACUGUCCUUGGGUGAAUAACUGUGUGGGAUUUUCUAAUUACAAAUUCUUCCUGCUGUUUUUAUUGUAUUCCCUAUUAUAUUGCCUUUUCGUGGCUGCCUACAGUUUUAGAGUACUUUAUAAAAUUUUGGACGAAUGAACUGACAGAUACGCGUGCAAAAUUCCACGUACUUUUUCUUUUCUUUGUGUCUGCAAUGUUCUUCAUCAGCGUCCUCUCACUUUUCAGCUACCACUGCUGGCUAGUUGGAAAAAAUAGGACAACAAUAGAAUCAUUCUCUGCACCCACAUUUUCAUGUGGACCUGAUGGAAAUGGUUUCUCUCUUAGAUACAAUAAAAAUUGGAGACAAGUCUUUGGUGAUGAAAAGAAAUAUUGGCUACUUUCAAUAUUUUCAAGCUUGGGUGAUGGUUGCAGUUUCCAACUCGCCUUGUAGGGAUGGGUCCAGAACAAGCUUCUGUUACAAACCAGAAUGAGUAUGCCAGAAGUGGCUCAAAUCAGCCUUUUCCUUUCAAACCACUUAGUGAAUCCAAAAAACUCUUGUUGGACAGU